GUUCGGAUUGAAGGCUGAAAUUCGCCUUCAUGAAGCUGGAAUUGCUAGUAAUGGCAGGUCAGCAUACUGCCGUGAAUACGUUCCCGGGCCUUGUACACACCGCCCGUCACACCAUGAGAGUUGGGAAUACCCGAAGCCUGUGAGCUAACUUAUAGAGGCAGCAGUCGAAGGUAGAAUCAAUGAUUGGGGUGAAGUCGUAACAAGGUAGC
rnacentral:rRNA from 1 species